CUACGGGGGGCAGCAGUGGGGAAUAUUGCACAAUGGGCGCAAGCCUGAUGCAGCCAUGCCGCGUGUAUGAAGAAGGCCUUCGGGUUGUAAAGUACUUUCAGCGGGGAGGAAGGGAGUAAAGUUAAUACCUUUGCUCAUUGACGUUACCCGCAGAAGAAGCACCGGCUAACUCCGUGCCAGCAGCCGCGGUAAUACGGAGGGUGCAAGCGUUAAUCGGAAUUACUGGGCGUAAAGCGCACGCAGGCGGUUGGUUAAGUCAGAUGUGAAAUCCCCGGGCUCAACCUGGGAACUGCAUCUGAUACUGGCAAGCUUGAGUAUGCGAGAGGGGGGUAGAAUUCCAGGUGUAGCGGUGAAAUGCGUAGAGAUCUGGAGGAAUACCGGUGGCGAAGGCGGCCCCCUGGACGAAGACUGACGCUCAGGUGCGAAAGCGUGGGGAGCAAACAGGAUUAGAUACCCGGGUAGUC
rnacentral:rRNA from 1 species